GAUAUAUUAAUUAUCAAAAUAAAAUAUUUAAUUAUAUAUAUUAUUUAUCUAUUAAAAGAAAUAAAUGAUAUAGUAUAUAUUGUUAUUAAUGAUAUGUACUUAUAUAUAUGAGGAUAUAUUAUAUAUUAACAAAAUAUUUAGUUCUAUAUUAUGAUAUAUUUGNAUUUAAAAUUUGAAAAUUAAAAGUUUUAAUUUUAAUUUCAAAUUUUAAAAUUUAAAAGUUAAAAUUUUUAAUUUAAAAUUAUAAGUUUAAAAUUUUAAAUUCAAUUAUAGGGUUAAAAUCAUUAUUUUCUAUCUAUAACUACCAACUAUUCCACCUUAUACUCACAUUUUCAUCCAAACACAAUUUUUCUAGUUCCAGCUUAUACCCACAUUUUCAUCCAAACAAAAAAAUACCCUUAUUCCUACGAAAACCCAUACUUAUACCUAUCCCUGGUAUAACUAGUUCUUGCUUAUACCCGAACCAAACGAAUCCUAAGAGACUAAAAUCAUCCUAACUCUACAAUUUCUCAUCCAAGGGUUAAAAACUGGAUAGCAACUACAAUUUCUCAUCCAAAGGUUAAAAACUUGAUAACAACUACAAUUUCUCAUCCAAGAGUUAAAAACUUGAUAGCAAAAAAAACCUUUUGCUAUCAAUUGUAUUCCAGCCUACCUCUAUUGUGACGCCCCAACUUCUAAGGGGGUCACCUAUCCUAGGAUUACUCCCGUCCUAGCACGCUUAACUCUCUUAAUCUCUUGGGCCUUGCCACCACCCAAAAUGCUUAAGUCGGGUUAAGAGUUUAGCCCUUAUAUCUCAUAUAUAGGGCUAUCUGGGGUCUCACAAUCUCCCCUCCUUUAAGCCCUGACGUCCUCGUUAGGCUCAGACUUACAAGUACCAGGCGAUGUGAGACUCAUCUCGCUAGCCCGUCAUCCAGACCCUGGCUCAGCCGAGACUCAUCUCACACUUCCGGCUGGUAAUUGGCUCUGAUACCAUCUGUGAUGCCCCAACUUCCCAGGGGGUCACCCAUCCUAGGAUUACUCCCGUCUUAGCACGCUUUAACUCUCUUAACCUCUUGGGUCUUGCCACCACCCAAAAUGCUUAAGCCGGGUUAAGAGUUUAGCCCUAUUAUAUCUCAUAUAUAGGGCUAU
rnacentral:lncRNA from 1 species